rnacentral:rRNA from 1 species
UACGUAGGGUGCGAGCGUUGUCCGGAUUUAUUGGGCGUAAAGAGCUCGUAGGCGGCUUGUCGCGUCGACCGUGAAAACUCGCAGCUCAACUGCGAGCCUGCGGUCGAUACGGGCAGGCUAGAGUUCGGUAGGGGAGACUGGAAUUCCUGGUGUAGCGGUGAAAUGCGCAGAUAUCAGGAGGAACACCGAUGGCGAAGGCAGGUCUCUGGGCCGAUACUGACGCUGAGGAGCGAAAGCGUGGGGAGCGAACAGG